CAGUCGCCGCGGUAAUACGUAGGGUGCGAGCGUUAAUCGGAAUUACUGGGCGUAAAGCGUACGCAGGCGGUUUGUUAAGUCAGAUGUGAAAUCCCCGAGCUUAACUCGGGAACUGCAUUUGAAACUGGCAGGCUAGAGUCUCGUAGAGGGGGGUAGAAUUCCAGGUGUAGCGGUGAAAUGCGUAGAGAUCUGGAGGAAUACCGGUGGCGAAGGCGGCCCCCUGGACGAAGACUGACGCUCAGGUACGAAAGCGUGGGGAGCAAACAGGAUUAGAGACCCCUGUAGUCCCUGUCUCUUAUAC
rnacentral:rRNA from 1 species